rnacentral:rRNA from 1 species
UACGAGGACGAACGCUGGCGGCGUGCCUAACACAUGCAAGUCGAGCGAGGAGAUUCCUUCGGGAUGAUCCUAGCGGCGGACGGGUGAGUAACACGUGGGCAACCUGCCUCAUAGAGAGGAAUAGCCUUCCGAAAGGGAGAUUAAUACCUCAUAACAUUGCAGUUUCGCAUGGAACAGCAAUUAAAGGAGCAAUCCACUAUGAGAUGGGCCCGCGGCGCAUUAGCUAGUUGGUGAGGUAACGGCUCACCAAGGCGACGAUGCGUAGCCGACAUGAGAGGGUGAUCGGCCACAUUGGGACUGAGACACGGCCCAGACUCCUACGGGAGGCAGCAGUGGGGAAUAUUGCACAAUGGGGGAAACCCUGAUGCAGCCAACGCCGCGUGAGUGAUGACGGCCUUCGGGUUGUAAAGCUCUGUCUUCAGGGACGAUAAUGACGGUACCUGAGGAGGAAGCCACGGCUAACUACGUGCCAGCAGCUGC